ACAAAUGCUGGGAAGGGAUGAAACCUCCAGAGAGAGGCUGGGCUUUCUGCUGACCACGGAGCUGUGUGCUGGAGAGACCCGCUAAGGACAAAGCAAAUGGAAUGUGACCAUAUCUGGGCUCUGAGCGGAGGGAGCAGCUCAUCCCAGUUGUACUGAUUACCCAGAGGGCAUUGUGCAAUGCGGAGCGAGAUUGGGUCUUAAUUAACGUCUGUUGUGAGGGCUCCAGGAUGAAUAGCUCUGCUGAGGGCAGGCCAUAGUCUGCUUCCUGGGCUGGGAGGUGAAGGAAAAGGUACGUUUGGGACUCGGUCAGUGGCUGGUCAGCCUGGAUCACAAAGCCUGUCCCAGGCAGUAUUGGGAGAACAGGUGACAACCGGUUACUUCUGGGCCAUGGAAGGCUCCGGGGGCCUCUCGAGAGGUCUGGUAGUUCCUGGCACAUGGGGAGGAGCCAGCCUGCCUGGCUGUGACUGUGAGGAGCCACAUCUCCCCAGGGCGGGCACAACCUCCAAGAUGGUGUGCACCUUGGCCCUCCAAUUCCUUAUCCACAGUCCGUUCUCGAAAAAAACAGCCAACACGGCAGCUCCCAGUGGCCAGGAUUGCAACACCGAAUGUGUUUGUUCCCCGUGUUUGUGAAAUACCUCAGAGGCACCGUUCCAGUCCCACCUGACUAGUUUUCUGAUUGCCACACAGCCUGGCUCCAUCUGCCAAUACUCCGCCGGGGCUGGCUGGUCAGAGAUCUGGAGAUGUUUGAGGAUUCAGGAUUUCAGAGACCUCAUUUCUGUCUUCCUGGGUGAGGAGGUUCUUACCUUCCCGAAGCUUCUGACUGUCACCUGUCGAACUUGGAGGCAACUCUGGUGUCCUGGAGCAAGUUGUGUGACCUUGGGCCAGUCAUUUGACCUCUCCGAGCUCUUAAUUCCUUCAACUGCAGAGCAAGUAUAACCAUUCCUGUCAGGCACACCAGCCAGGAGGCCAGGGGACCAGCUCCCUCACUAGGCUUCCUGCCCCAAAGGUUACUAACAGCAAAGUUGACCUCAGAUUUCUGAGUGAUUAAAAUUCAAUCUGCACUCAAGUCUUGCAAAUGAAUUACCAUCAGUCUUUGACUGAGUGCAGGAAGAAGAGGCCUGGCUAAUCUAUAACGUAAUGGAGACUGAGAAGCCCCUGGAAAUUGGCUCAAGAAUAUGGUCUGUAGCUCUUACUCAGCCAAAAGAAGGGGCUGUGAGAGGCAUGUGACCUUAUACAUCAUGUCCUUCAUUGAUCUCCUUCAAGGAAGGGGGAAACCUGGAACUGAGGAGAAGAGUUAAUAGUUAGUGGGCUUCUAUUAACUGCCAAGUACUGGAUAGCUAUUGUUGUGUUGGCUGUUGUCAUUUUUUUUUUUUUAAAUUGAACUAUCUAAGGAAAAAGAGCUUAGUGUCCCUGACUAAAUAGGUAUUGCAUGUUUGAAAGAUUUUUGCAGCACACCGGUUGAAACCUGCUGCUCAAGGAGCUAGGACACAGGAGAUAACUGAGACCCAGCAUGGUGACAUGACUUGCUCAAGGUCAUACAGCUGGAAGUAGAAUGUGCCAGUUGCCUCUUAUCUUUGAUGAUCCAGACAGCCAGACCACAGCCUGGGUGGGAUGAGCUUGCACUGCUGGACCAUUUGUUUAUCUUCAUGUGCGUCUUCCGUGAGUUACUCUCGGGUGAGAAGAAUAUUUGACCCCUAUUGAGAGAGGCUGCCUUUCACAAUCUCAGUUCCCUAGCUGGGAUGUGCUGAGCUGACAAAAUGUACAGAGAAGAGUUAGCUAUUUUUAGGAUGAAUUAGCAGGCACUGCAAAGUUCUACUCUUUUUAUGUGCCAAGUGCUUUACAGGCAGUGUAUUGUUUAAUUCUAUUUUGCAGAUAAAAGUGUCUUGACCAAAGCCACAGAGAGAGGGUUAGUGAAGCUGGAAUUCCACCUUUGGUCUUCCUGGCUCCCAGGCCCAUGUUCUCCCUAUGAGGAUGAAAUUACAAUGGACAGGAAUCCACAGAAAGGGAAACCCGAAGAAUGAAAUCAUCCAUGUCCUGAAGAAUUUGUUGAGUGGGUUGUUUUGCGGGGUAGAGCAGCAGGUUCAUGGAUGAGAAAGUUGGGGAUUCUGGCUCAGGGGAGCACCCAUCUAACAAGGGAGGUGUGCGGACUUGUCUGCUGUCCACAUCCUUCAUUUUCUUUUUGGGAUCUCCCCUUCCCUCACUGCGUGCCACCCUGGGGUCUUGCCAGUCCAGGUUCCUGCACUCCUUUGUCCCCAAAUGGAAAACUAGACAAUGAGAAUGUAAAUUAUGACCCCUGAACUGAGAAUGCCUGGAGCUGAUUGGUUAUGGUAGCAUCCCCUGGAAGAUAACUGCCCACUUGUUCCUGCCAUCUGACUGCUGUGCUUUUCCUUCUUUCUGGGAGCUUUCUUGUGGCAGAUGCCAUAGCUUGAUUUACUUAGUUCCUCCUCCCCCUCCCCGGAGGACUACAGUAAGUAAGAAAAUGUCCGCUGAAGUUAUUUUCAGAAGGAUGGAGGUCUUUGAGGAAUGAGUUAAACCCCCAGCUUUGUAACAGAACCAUGGGCUGGUCUCUUUCAUUCUCUGAACCUGAGUUUUCCCAUCUAUAAAAUGGGGCUUCAACAACCACCAUAGGGAGAAACGGAUGAAAUGAAAAGCAUACAUGUGUUAUAACUAUUUUUUGAUCCAGCUCUCUAUUGCUGCAUUUAAAAAACCCUAAAAAUUUAGUGCCAUAAAACAACAUUUACUUGGCUUCUGAGUCAGCAGGGAAUCACUUAUCUUAGCUCCACUCAGUUUCAGCUGAAGGUGGGUCUAGAGUUGCUGCUGGCGGGACUGUCAGUCAAACGUCUUUAAUAGCCUCUUUGUGUGGCUGGGGCUUCCUUAGUACAACAUGGCGGCUAGGCUCCCGGGAGGAGCACCAGUGGAAGCAGCACUGCCUUUGUGAUGUAGCCUUAGAAAUCACAGUGUCACUUCUACUUUCUUUUAUUAAUUAGGAAUGAGUCAUUAAAGCUGGACCACAUUCCAGAGGAAAGAAAUUAGCCUACAUCUUUUGAGGUGAGUAGGACAAAGAAUCUGUGGACAUGUUUUAAAACCAACACAUUCUUCUAGCAAGUUGUAUUGUGUUGCAAUGGGCGAGGUAGGGAUGGGGAUGAGCUAUGGAGAGGCGAGCUGAAGUCUCAUUUCUAUUUUGCAUUGGCCUUAAUGAGGCAAACAACACUUACCUGGCUGACAUCACAGCUGAAGCACUGCCUCUGAUGGUGUUAAAUAUUAUAUUGUAUUUCAGAGCUAGAGGGGCAGUAUCAGGACUCGUUUGGUUGAACCUAGUUCAAGCUGACUUAUAUUGUAUAACAAAGGAUUUAUUGUCUUAUGUAAAUAAAAAGUCUAGAGCAUGUGCUUCAUGCAAUGCUUGAAGGCGAUCUACCCAGCAGCACAAGGAUGCCGGGGAAGACCAGGUUUGGCUCUACUUCUUCACUUUGCUAGUUCUAUUUUUGGUUGCAAGAUGGCUUCCAGAACUUCCUUAGUUAUGUGAUGAUGAUUAUUAUUUGCAUCCAGAGAGAGAGAGAGACACUGUCUAAACCUUGGCCUCAAGACCCCUGAACUUCACCUCAGUCUCCAGGACUUCUGGCAGGUAUGGGUACCCCAGGGGAAUCUGCCUUCCAUGACCCAACCACAGAAGGAAGAUGAGAGACCUGGGUGGCUGGUGAGAGCACAGAAGGCUGGGCCAACCUGUUCUGGUGCCCUGGGCAAUGCUGGCUGCAAUGAGGCCGCAUGCCUGCCAGAGCCCUUGGCUAAACGGGAGUAUCUUCGAGGUAAGGGGCAGUGCAUCUCUGCUCUUCCCCCCACACCCUCCCAUGGCUUAGGUUUCUGUGAGGAAAGGGUUCUACAAUAGAAAGGACUGGUAUAGGAGCGAAAACCUCCAGGUUCUAGUCCAGGUGCUACCUCGGCACUCUGGGAUCCCAGCCUCAGUUUCCUUAAUUGUCAAAGAGGGCUGAUGGCCCCUGCCUAGCCUUCUUCUUCCCCAAGACACCAGAAUUCAAAGGCAGUAGAACCAGGUUGUGAAAGACCAGGGCCCACAAUACACACGUUAGAUGAUUAUUAUUGUUAAAAAUAAUCAAUGGCUUGGAAGGUGGCACCCAGAGGCUUCUGCAGAACCCAGCCACUGCCAGCAAUUGGUUGCCUUUCCGAUUGAGACGCAGAUAGGAGGGCAGAAAAGAAAAGCGGCUCCUUCCCAAGACCACUGAGUCUCCCGCUUCCCUUGGAGGCCUCCAACUUGUGGAUCGCCUCCUGGUAGAAUAAUUUGUCCUGCUCUGCACCUGUCGUCACCUCCAGAGGUCAGCCGGCUGGAGGUGGGGAGACAGGAGCCCCACACAGAGGGAUGCCUGUGCCCCUUCCUCACCUUACCUGGGUUCCUCCUCCUGCUUCUGUCUCCAGGACUGGGUCUCCCAAGCCCUUGCCACUUGGGGGCUGUGCUGUUCUUCAGCCACAUUUGUUUCCCAUCUGAAACAUCGCUUCUUGGUAUGUGAGAUGCCGUCAAUCCACUUCUUCAUUCUUAAACCAAUACCCUUAACAGAAAGAUUACUGUCAUAGCAGGGGGUGAGGGCAGGACUGGGGGAAUAAGGAUGCAUUUGUAAUACCUUAAUCAAUAAAAAAUACAUAAUAUAAUAUAA